GACCGCGUAGCUCAGCUGGCAGAGCAUUGGGCUAGUAUUCCAAAGGUCGUAGGUUCGAUUCCCACCGUGGCCA
rnacentral:tRNA from 1 species